UACAGAGGGGGCUAGCGUUAUUCGGAAUUAUUGGGCGUAAAGGGCGCGUAGGCGGCCAUGCGUGUCUUCCGUGAAAUCCCUCGGCUUAACUGAGGACGUGCGGAAGAAACUGCAAGGCUCGAGUCCGGGAGAGGGGGGUGGAAUUCCCAGUGUAGCGGUGAAAUGCGUAGAUAUUGGGAGGAACACCGGUGGCGAAGGCGGCCCCCUGGACCGGUACUGACGCUGAGAAGCGAAAGCAUGGGGAGCGAACAGG
rnacentral:rRNA from 1 species